UACGUAGGGGGCGAGCGUUACCCGGAAUCACUGGGCGUAAAGGGAGCGUAGGUGGCCUAACAUGUCAACUGUGAAAACCCGGAGCUCAACUCCGGACUUGCAGUUGAAACUGGUAGGCUUGAGGACGGUAGAGGAAGACGGAACUGCCAGUGUAGGGGUAAAAUCCUUAGAUAUUGGCAGGAACGCCGGUGACGAAGGUGGUUUUCUGGGCCGGUUCUGACACUGAUGCUCGAAAGCCAGGGGAGCGAACGGGAUUAGAUACCCCGGUAGUCCUGGCCCUAAACGAUGUUCACUAGGUGUGGGGAGCGGAAAGCUCUCCGUGCUAAAGCUAACGCGAUAAGUGAACCGCCUGGGGAGUACGCCCGCAAGGGUGAA
rnacentral:rRNA from 2 species